rnacentral:sRNA from 1 species
GAGGCGCUUGGGAGGACUCCCCCAGUUCUGUUAAGAGCUGGGCACAAAGAGCCCUUUGCACUCCAGCCGCAGGAGCGAGGAGGAGCCGAGCUAGAUGCACAUGGGCGUGGGGACUCCGGUACAACACCAACCCACAAGGUUAGCAGACCUUACCAUUCCUCCACUUAUGGGCCUUAUCCCAGACCUGGGGCGUCCAGCGCAGCCUCAAACCCAGGGCAUCUCUGCACUCUCAUCGCGACGUCGCUCUGGAUGCUGUUUGCAUAUCCUUGGGGAGUCACUGCUUUGGCACAACAGUCCUGCGAGGUGCUGGAAUUCCGUCUGUUCUCAUCACACGGACAUGGCUGAUCUGUCUCAGUGGUACCUGGGGGCAAAGCAGGGAGCCGGGCGGUGGAGGCCAACAUUGUUACCAAGUUGGCUCUGUCUCAACACAGGGACUGAGCCUUCUGAGCCUCAAGAGUUCCUGCUGGUUCCCAGGUGGUGGA